GAAAUUAUUAUUUUUUUUGCCUCAUUUUCGCUCACACUAAAAAAAAUCGGUUGUUCAACCACCAUUUGGAUCUAUUACAAAAAUAUCAUUGCUAUCACAGCGAUCUGCUUUCUGGAGAAGAGGACUUACCUUUUACUGGAAAUUGCCAAAACUGCAUUUGUGGAUGUUACGUUGUAGUUUAGAAAGAUUUUUUAAUAUGAAAACCUAUUAUUGCAGAUUAUAGAGAUUUUUUGUGAAACAAA
rnacentral:misc_RNA from 1 species